rnacentral:rRNA from 1 species
CACGGGGGAGCAAGCGUUGUUCGGAAUCACUGGGCGUAAAGGGCGUCUAGGCGGUCAGGUAAGUGGGAUGUGAAAUGCCCCGGCUCACCCGGGGAGCGGCAUCCCAUACUGCUUGGCUUGAGUACGGGAGAGGAUGUGGGAAUUCCUGGUGUAGCGGUGAAAUGCGUAGAUAUCAGGAGGAACACCGGUGGCGAAGGCGCACAU